GAUGAACGCUAGCGGCAGGCCUAACACAUGCAAGUCGAGGGGUAGCAGGAUUAAGCUUGCUUAAUUGCUGACGACCGGCGCACGGGUGCGUAACGCGUAUGCAACCUACCUUAUACUGGGGUAUAGCCCGGAGAAAUUCGGAUUAAUCCCCCAUAGUACUAAUGAAUCGCAUGGUUUAUUAGUUAAAGCAUUGCGGUAUAAGAUGGGCAUGCGUCCUAUUAGCUAGAUGGUGAGGUAACGGCUCACCAUGGCUACGAUAGGUAGGGGGCCUGAGAGGGUGGUCCACCGUACUGGUACGGAGACACGGACCAGACUACUACGGGAGGCAGCAGUGAGGAAUAUUGGUCAAUGGGCGCAAGCCUGAACCAGCCAUGCCGCGUGCAGGAAGAAUGCCCUAUGGGUUGUAAACUGCUUUUAUUUGGGAAUAAACCUCUUUACGUGUAGAGAGCUGAAGGUUCCAAAUGAAUAAGCACCGGCUAACUCCGUGCCAGCCGCCGCAGUAA
rnacentral:rRNA from 1 species